rnacentral:rRNA from 1 species
AACGAACGCUGGCGGCGUGCUUAACACAUGCAAGUCGAACGCGAAAGGGACUUCGGUCCUGAGUAAAGUGGCGCACGGGUGAGUAACGCGUAGAUAACCUGUCUUUAUGUCUGGAAUAAUACGCCGAAAGGGGUACUAAUACCGGAUACUCUUGCUUUAUAUAAGUUUUGCAAGCAAAGGUGGCCUCUGACAUAAGCUACUGCAUAAAGAGGGGUCUGCGUACCAUUAGCUUGUAGGUGGGGUAAUGGCCUACCUAGGCAACGAUGGUUAGCGGGUCUGAGAGGAUGAUCCGCCACACUGGCACUGGAGCACGGGCCAGACUUCUACGGGAGGCAGCAGUGAGGAAUAUUGCGCAAUGGGGGCAACCCUGACGCAGCGACGCCGCGUGAGUGAGGAAGGCCUUCGGGUCGUAAAGCUCUGUCAAAGGGAAAGAAAUGUAUAAUGGCUAAUACCUGUUAUAUUUGACGGUACCCUUAAAGGAAGCACCGGCUAACUCCGUGCCAGCAGCCGCGGUAAUACGGAGGGUGCAAGCGUUGUUCGGAAUUACUGGGCGUAAAGGGCGCGUAGGCGGUUUGAUAAGUCAGAUGUGAAAGCCCACGGCUUAACUGUGGAAGUGCAUUUGAUACUGUCAGGACU